rnacentral:rRNA from 1 species
AUUACCGCGGCUGCUGGCACGAAGUUAGCCGGGGCUUAUUCUUCCGGUACAGUCAUUAUCUUCCCGGAUAAAAGAGCUUUACAACCCUAAGGCCUUCAUCACUCACGCGGCAUGGCUGGAUCAGGCUUUCGCCCAUUGUCCAAUAUUCCCCACUGCUGCCUCCCGUAGG